rnacentral:misc_RNA from 1 species
CAACCUUUAAGCCUUGUAGCUUAGCGUUGGGAAUCUACCCCUCACUGAGGGGUAGUUCCUUAAAUUUAGUGGCGGGGUUAUAGCAUACUCUAGGCGUAGUAGUUUCACUCGCUUUCAGGGAGGCUGUAGCUGCUUGCCGUAAAACCCCCUAUAACUUAUAGU